ACAUGCCUACAACAUAGCAUUAAUGCACCAGAUCCCAUUAGAACUCCAUAGUUAAGGGCACUCAAGAUAGAGUAGUGCUGGGAUGGUUGACCACCUGGGAAGUCCUAGUGUUUUACAUGCC
rfam:Picea glauca, whole genome shotgun sequence.